rnacentral:rRNA from 1 species
AUACGUAGGGUGCGAGCGUUGUCCGGAAUUACUGGGCGUAAAGAGCUCGUAGGUGGUUUGUCGCGUCGUCUGUGAAAUUCCGGGGCUUAACUCCGGGCGUGCAGGCGAUACGGGCAUAACUUGAGUACUGUAGGGGAGACUGGAAUUCCUGGUGUAGCGGUGAAAUGCGCAGAUAUCAGGAGGAACACCGGUGGCGAAGGCGGGUUUCUGGGCAGUAACUGACGCUGAGGAGCGAAAGCAUGGGUAGCGAACAGGAUUAGAUACCCUGGUAGUCCAUGCCGUAAACGGUGGGCGCUAGGUGUAGGGGUCUUCCACGACUUCUGUGCCGUAGCUAACGCAUUAAGCGCCCCGCCUGGGGAGUACGGCCGCAAGGCUAAAACUCAAAGGAAUUGACGGGG